rnacentral:ncRNA from 1 species
AGAUGCUGAAACGUUGACGCAUUGAUGAAAGAUAUCGUCAGAAAAGUUACCACAGGGAUAACUGGCUUGUGGCAGCCAAGCGUCCAUAGCGACGUUGCUUUUUGAUCCUACGAUGUCGGCUCUUCCUAUCAUUGCGAAGCAGAAUUCGCCAAGCGUUGGAUCGUUCACCCACCAAUAGGGAACGUGAGCUGGGUUUAGACCGUCGUAAGACAGGUUAGUU